rnacentral:rRNA from 1 species
AUUGAACGCUGGCGGCAUGCCUUACACAUGCAAGUCGAACGGCAGCACGGGAGCAAUCCUGGUGGCGAGUGGCGAACGGGUGAGUAAAGUAUCGGAACGUGCCCAGUCGUGGGGGAUAACGUAGCGAAAGUUACGCUAAUACCGCAUACGAUCUAUGGAUGAAAGCGGGGGAUCGCAAGACCUCGCGCGAUUGGAGCGGCCGAUAUCAGAUUAGGUAGUUGGUGGGGUAAAGGCCCACCAAGCCGACGAUCUGUAGCUGGUCUGAGAGGACGGCCAGCCAGACUGGGACUGAGACACGGCCCAGACUCCUACGGGAGGCAGCAGUGGGGAAUUUUGGACAAUGGGCGAAAGCCUGAUCCAGCCAUGCCGCGUGCAGGAUGAAGGCCUUCGGGUUGUAAACUGCUUUUGUACGGAACGAAAAGGACUGCCCUAAUACGGUGGUCCCAUGACGGUACCGUAAGAAUAAGCACCGGCUAACUACGCGCCAGCCGCCGCCGUAA